rnacentral:rRNA from 1 species
UACGGAGGUUGCGAGCGUUGUUCGGAAUAACUGGGCGUAAAGGGAGCGCAGGCGUUCGGUCAGUCCAUAGUGAAAUCCCGGGGCUCAACCUCGGACGUGCUUUGGAUACUGCCGAACUGGAGUACGUGAGAGGAGAGCGGAAUUCCAGGUGUAGCGGUGAAAUGCGUAGAUAUCUGGAAGAACAUCAGUGGCGAAAGCGGCUCUCUGGCACGAAACUGACGCUGAGGCUCGAAAGCGUGGGGAGCAAACGGGAUUAGAUACCCCCGUA